UACGUAGGGGGCAAGCGUUGUCCGGACUUAUUGGGCGUAAAGAGCGUGUAGGCGGCUUUACAGGUCCGUUGUGAAAACUCGAGGCUCAACCUCGAGACGCCGGUGGAAACCGUAAGGCUAGAGUCCGGAAGAGGAGAGUGGAAUUCCUGGUGUAGCGGUGAAAUGCGCAGAUAUCAGGAAGAACACCCGUGGCGAAGGCGGCUCUCUGGGACGGUACUGACGCUGAGACGCGAAAGCGUGGGGAGCAAACAGG
rnacentral:rRNA from 1 species